rnacentral:rRNA from 1 species
CGAAAGCCUGACGGAGCAACGCCGCGUGAGGGAUGAAGGCCUCUGGGCUGUAAACCUCUUUUCUCAAGGAAGAAGAUCUGACGGUACUUGAGGAAUAAGCCACGGCUAAUUCCGUGCCAGCAGCCGCGGUAAUACGGGAGUGGCAAGCGUUAUCCGGAAUUAUUGGGCGUAAAGCGUCCGCAGGCGGUUCUGUAAGUCUGCCGUUAAAGCGUGGAGCUUAACUCCAUUUCGGCGGUGGAAACUGCAGGACUUGAGUGUGGUAGGGGCAGAGGGAAUUCCCGGUGUAGCGGAGAAAUGCGUAGAUAUCGGGAAGAACACCAGUGGCGAAGGCGCUCUGCUGGGCCAUAACUGACGCUCAUGGACGAAAGCCAGGGGAGCG